rnacentral:rRNA from 1 species
AAACAUGUUUUUUUGAAAAUAAUUUAAAGUCUAAUCUGCCCACUGAUNAAAUUAUUAAAGGGCUGCAGUAUUUUGACUGUACAAAGGUAGCAUAAUCAUUAGUCUCUUAAUUGGUGACUUGUAUGAAAGAUUGGAUGAAAUAUAUACUGUCUCUAUUUAAUUUAUAAAAUUUAAUUUUUUAGUAAAAAAGCUAAAAUGAAUUUAAAAGACGAGAAGACCCUAUAGAGUUUGAUAAUUUAUUUAAUUGUUAAUAAUAUAUAAAUUUUAAAAUUAAGAUUAAAUAAAUUAUUUUAUUGGGGUGAUAGAAAAAUUAAAUUAACUUUUUUUUUAUUUUAUACAUUAAUUUAUGAAUAAAUGAUCUAUUAAUAAUGAUUAAAAGAAAAAAUUACCUUAGGGAUAACAGCGUAAUUUUUUUUUUUAGUUCGAAUAGGAAAAAAAGUUUGCGACCUCGAUGUUGGAUUAAGAUAAAAUUUAAAUGCAAAAGUUAA